ensembl:processed_transcript Gas5 growth arrest specific 5
GAGCUGUGCGGCACUCUGAGCAGGAAUGGCAGUGUGGACCUCUGUGAUGGGACAUCUUGUGGGAUCUCACAGCCAGUUCUGUGGCAAAGGAGGAUGAAGGCUUACGAGGACUCGUCAGGAAGCUGGAUAACAGAGCGAGCGCAAUGUAAGCAAUUUUGUGUGUGCAUGUGGUCCCAUUACAAGGAAUACCCAAUGGCAAAUGAGCACUAAAGAUCCCUCAACCCACACAUUGAAUGUAUUGUUCCCUGAGAACAAUUGUAGAUAGAGGAGUGGGUGGGAGAUCUGAAGUCAGGGCAUUGUUUCUGCGUAUCUGAGGAGGCUGGUUUUUGAUAUGUGGGAGCUAGUGGUCGUUAACGCAUUUACCCCCUAUUUGGUGGACUCUGGUUCCCCCAUCUUAAGUGCUGAGUCAGGGGCCUAACCGGGCAGCUUUAACUAUUUGUUUGUUGUAGGUGCUAGAAUAGAAGACCAGAAAAUGAAAUGGUAAGUGAAACUAAAGGAAUUGUAGAUGCUAAACAGGCUUGGCUUUGUUG